ensembl:lncRNA uncharacterized LOC115611926
GCCAGUGAGGAGUGGCACAAGAAGCUGGGAGGAAGCAGAGACAGGACACCUGACCCAAACUAGCCAAAGGGGUAUUCCAUACCACAGCAUGUCAUGCCCAGUAUAUAAACUGGGGGGAAUUACCCAGAAAGGACUGAGUGCCGCUCAGGUCAGGCUGGAUAUCAGUUGGCAGGUGCCCUGUAACAGAACAGUCACAAUCCCAGUAGACUGCAUGCAUUCAUGGAGUACUGCAGCUACUGCAUACACAUUCUACUCCAACAAUAAUCCAAGAAGGGAAGUGGCACAGGUUAUCUGCAUUGGCAUGAGGCAUUUGGGGUGUCCUUCAGACUCCUUUUUCACAGCAAGCCCUUUUUCCUGGGACCACCUUUCUGAUGUUUCCUUACCUAUCACAAGGAAUGUGCAUGAAUUGCCGAGGUGAGUAUCUCCAGAGAGGACGCCUUUAACACCGGAGCGGAGGGAAGCACAGCGUCCCGGAGCCUCAGUUCGGAGCCGCAAGAACCACCGAGGGAGCCUCAAGUCCUCGACAGGACUUGCCCAGGAGCCGGCAGCUCAGCUGACGCGAGCAGCUGACUCACAGGGGGCGGUGCCAGGAGUGGCGGCACCAGCCCUCAGUGGGGAAAAACCCAUCCCAGGGAGCGCGAGCGACCGGGAGCGCGGCGACCAGGGCGGGCAAACAGGGCGUGGCACGUCAGUCAGGGCGUGGCGCGGCAGUUGGCGCAGGCAGGGCGAGCGGGCAGCGAGCGGGAUGGUAAGCACUCGCCUCAGGACCCGGGCCCGCUCUGGGAGCUCUGCCCCGGCGGUGGCCAGCCUAGGCACCCAGACAGAGCCGAUGAGAGGGGAGGCUGCGGCUCAGAGCUCGGAGUGUAGAAAGUGCCUCGACUGGUCUCUUGAGGCGAGGGUGCACAAUGGACAGGGCUGCACUCGGUGCGCCCUGGUGGAGGUCCUCCUGCAGCAGGUGGCUGAGCUGCGGGAGGCUGUUGGAGAGCUAAAAGAUGCCAAGGAAGCUGAGAGGAAGCUGGGCUGCUUGCUCCAGGCCCAAACUGUGCAGGGGCUGCAAACGUCCAGCGUUGCUCAUAUAGGAAGGAAGGAAGGAGGGCAGCAACCCAGGAAGCUGGGAAUUAGUCACGAGAAAAACUAACAAAAAAAGGAGGAAGAGGACAAUUAACAAGAAGGGGCUUCCUCCUAAAUCUGAUGUCCCCACCCAGCACCGCUUCGCAGUUCUGCAGGGGGCUAAUGAGAAAGCACCCACCACACCUAAUGAGCAUCCUGCUGAUGCACCAGUAAAGAGGAUCACUACUGGUGCCCUCAGGAAAAAGCGGAGGGUCAUAGUAGUAGGGGACUCUACUUUGAAAGGCACAGAGGCACUCAUCUGCUUGCCUGAUCCAGUCUUGAGGGAGGUGUGUUGCCUGCCAGGGGCUCGGAUCAGGGAUGUUGCUGAGAGGCUGCCUGCUCUAGUAAGUCCUGCUGACUAUUACCCCCUCCUAGUGGUCCAUGUGGGUGCUAGAGAUAUAGAUAGCAGUAGCCUGGAGAACAUUAUGAAGGACUACAGAGCCCUGGGAGAGGUGGUUAGGGGCUCUGGAGCUCAGAUAGUUUUUUCAUCGAUUCUCCAGGACAAAGGGGAGGACCUUAAAAAAGCUAGGCGUGUCUGGCAGGUUAAUAAAUGGUUAGAAUGCUGGUGCCAUAGUCAGGGGUUUGACUAUUUAGAACAUGGGGCUCCAUUUGGGAGGCCAGAUCUACUGGAGGCUGGUGGAGCUGGUCUGACAAAGAAGGGGAAGAGCUGUUUUGGUAGGAGGCUUGCCAGGCUGGUCAGGAAAGCUUUAAACUAGAUGUGUUGGGGGAGAGGAGCAUUGAUCCAUCCCAACACUCCUGGUCAGUUGCCAGCACCUGUAAUAAGUGCUUGGAGCGAUGUAGAGAUGUUCCAGCUGCCCCAGCCAUUGAGUCGGCUGCAUUUGGAGCUCGGCUAAGGUGCCUCCAUACAAGCACCCGUAGUAUGGGGAACAAGCAAGAGGAAUUAGAGAUGUGUGCAAGGCUACGGGAAUAUGAUGUCAUUGGUAUCACAGAAACAUGGUGGGAUGGCUUCUAUGACUGGAGUGUCGGAAUGGAAGGUUACAGGCUGUUUAGAAAAGACAGGCCAGGCAGACGGGGAGGGGGUGUUGCUAUCUAUGUCAGUGAUAGGCUAGAGAGUAUGGAACUCUGUCUGGGGACCAGUGAUGAGGUAACAGAGUGUUUGUGGGUCAGGAUCAAAGGGAAAACAGCAACGGGGGACAUUACGGUGGGGAUCUGUUACAGGCCACCUGAUGAAGAGGACUCUGUGGAUGAAGCGCUCUACAGACAGAUAGGAGCAGCCUCACGCUCGCAGGCCCUUGUCCUCAUGGGGGACUUCAACCAUCCUGACAUCUGUUGGAGGGACGGUACGGCCCGGCACAAGCAAUCCAGGAGGUUCCUCGAUUGUGUGUAAGACAACUUCCUCUUUCAAGCAAUAGAGGAGCCGACGAGGAGAGGUGCCAUGCUGGACCUCGUGCUCACCAACAGGGAGGGACUGGUUGGAAAUGUGACGCUCCAGGGCAGCUUUGGCUCUAGUGAUCACGAGAUGGUUGAGUUUGAGAUCCUCAGGACGGUGAGAAGAGCGUGCAGCAAGCUCACUGCCCUGGACUUCAAGAAAGCAGACUUUGGCCUCUUCAGGAACCUCCUUAGUAAGGUUUCAUGGGAUACAGUCCUAGAGGGCAGGGGGGCCCAAGACUGCUGGUCAGUAUUCAAGGAUCACCUGCUACAUGCUCAAGAGUGUUGCAUCCUGACUAGAAGAAAGUGCAGCAGGAGGGCCAGGAGACCUCCAUGGAUGGACAAGGAGCUGCUGAGGAAACUUAGAGGGAAAAAA